rnacentral:lncRNA from 1 species
GGGUAGAGUGGGUUAAAAGGUCCCUAGAGUCAUUGAUCCAACUUGAAAAUUCUAUCGUCGUUACGAAGACUCGUCGGACAAUAAUAUCUCAAGAGAAUUUACUCUAGGAGGGGUCUUCUAUUCGUCCCAACAAGGAAGGCUCCUUGUGGGCCUCCACUACACAACCACCAACUUAAUCUUAUGUUUUUUCUCAGAUCGAGUAGAGAGCCUAUCUCACAAAGUGCCAAUGAUCAGAGAAACCCAAAUAAGACAUAAUCAAUAAACCACAAAACAAUAAUUACAAAAGAA